rnacentral:rRNA from 1 species
UACGUAGGGUGCGAGCGUUAAUCGGAAUUACUGGGCGUAAAGCGUGCGCAGGCGGUUCGUUAAGUUCGGUGUGAAAGCCCCGGGCUCAACCUGGGAACUGCAAUGGAAACUGGCGGGCUUGAAUGCGGCAGAGGGGGGUGGAAUUCCAGGUGUAGCGGUGAAAUGCGUAGAUAUCUGGAGGAACACCGGUGGCGAAGGCGGCAUCCUGGACCGGUAUUGACGCUGAGGCGCGAAAGCCAGGGGAGCAAGCGGG